rnacentral:rRNA from 1 species
AUCGCAAGACCUCGCGCUAUAGGGGCGGCCGAUGGCAGAUUAGCUAGUUGGUGGGGUAAAGGCCUACCAAGGCGACGAUCUGUAGCUGGUCUGAGAGGACGACCAGCCACACUGGGACUGAGACACGGCCCAGACUCCUACGGGAGGCAGCAGUGGGGAAUUUUGGACAAUGGGGGAAACCCUGAUCCAGCAAUGCCGCGUGUGUGAAGAAGGCCUUCGGGUUGUAAAGCACUUUUGUCCGGAAAGAAAACCUUCGAGUUAAUACCUUGGGGGGAUGACGGUACCGGAAGAAUAAGCACCGGCUAACUACGUGCCAGCAGCCGCGGUAAUACGUAGGGUGCGAGCGUUAAUCGGAAUUACUGGGCGUAAAGCGUGCGCAGGCGGUUCGUUAAGACAGAUGUGAAAUCCCCGGGCUUAACCUGGGAACUGCAUUUGUGACUGGCGAGCUAGAGUAUGGCAGAGGGGGGUAGAAUUCCACGUGUAGCAGUGAAAUGCGUAGAGAUGUGGAGGAAUACCGAUGGCGAAGGCAGC